rnacentral:rRNA from 1 species
AUGUUCUCUUGGUUUAAAUAUUUCUUGAUGAGGUUUCCCGUCAUCUGUGCCUACCCAUGUGGUUGGCUUUUGCAUCUCAUAUGGUUUACUUAUAAACCCUUUGCAGCCAUUUCUCUGGGGUCAAAUGGUCUAGCUGAGAUUUUGUUAUUUUUCUCAAAAUUUGAAUUCUUCCUGCUGGCAAUUGAGGAUCAGAUAUCCUACACUCUCAAUGGACAAUUCCAUGUGUGGACUAAUAAUCUCCGCUUAUUAUCUGAUGCCUUGCAAUCUUUGAUAUGUUUUCAGAACUCUGUACUUUUAUUUUAA